rnacentral:rRNA from 1 species
UACGUAGGGUCCAAGCGUUGUCCGGAUUUAUUGGGCGUAAAGAGCUCGUAGGUGGUUCGGUAAGUCGGAUGUGAAAACUCGGGGCUCAACCCCGAGACGCCAUCCGAUACUGCUGUGACUUGAGUCUGGUAGGGGAGAUGGAAUUCCUGGUGUAGCGGUGAAAUGCGCAGAUAUCAGGAGGAACACCGGUGGCGAAGGCGGAUCUCUGGGCCAGUACUGACACUGAGGAGCGAAAGCGUGGGUAGCAAACAGG